GUUCUUUCCUGCAUCUUAUUUCUUCUGCCUAGCCCUGAGUCUGUCUACAGAGAGAGGCUGGAGACAUGAUGGGUGGGUCUCCUCCAGCUCCCCCUUUCCUCCAGUCUAAGGGGGCUUCCCUUGUGGUGGGCUCUUGGAUACCCAAGUACAUGUGUUGCCAGUGCUGAUUAGUCACACGGCGUGUAGCUGUGGUGGCUGUCAGAGCCUGGCAUGGAGACUUGUUUUCUGGUUCUGCUAAUGAACCAAGCUUGAGCCAAGGAAGACAGAUUAUUCCUGAUUUGUUUAUAAGCUUACAGGAGAGUGGAAACAAUCUCUCCAGCCAAGCCUCCUUGGGCCAGUUGAAGUGAAACCAAGGAUUGUCCACUUAUCUCAGUAAUUAAGGCGCAAAGAGACCCAUACUGUUUGGGUCUGACUUUUCCAAAUCUGAGGGAAGAUGGUUUUAGCAAAUUCAGUGUGUACCAGGUCUUUGAUUCAUUGUGGUCAUUCAGUCGUUUCUGAGUCAUUGCUGGACAGCAGAAGCAGACAGCUGAAGCACAGGUCAGAAAACCAUAAUGUGCUGAGCAGCAUUACAGCUUGUUUUGCUUAAUAUUUAUUCUUAAAACAUGACUUCAUUUCAGGUACAAGUCCAGUGUGUUUGCUGUAACAAGUUAGCGCGAUGAAAUAUGGAAAAACCUAUUUGCCUCUGUCUUCACAAUUUGCACAAAGCCCCUUUCUGGUGAGGAUUGCGUUGCACUGAUCUCUACACAUUUUCCCGGCAUGCAGUGCUGUUUGGCCCUUUAUGGGAUGGGCACAAAGACCCUGUGUCUACCUUCCCAGUGAGCUGCAUAAGAGACUAGGCACAGUGGAGACACAUACAAGGCAUCUACUGGGCACCGACCACAUGCCAGGCAUAACCGUGGGAUCCAGGCAGACAAUAGGGAACUGUAAAAUGCCCUGUCUUCAGAGAAGACAAAUGCCAGGAGAUGGGAAGAGCUAAGAUGGAGGAUGAUCAGGUGAGUGUGGAGAGGUUACAGCCCCAGCGUGUGGUCUCCUGGAAUGGCCAGGAAGGCCUCUCUGAUGAAGUUUAAGCUGAGACCUGAAAGGAGUGAGGAGCUACAGGAGUGGCUGGGGAAGGAGUGUCCAGGCCUUCAGCAGGACUGAGGUUGGCUUGUAUGUGUAUAAAUAUAUACAUAAGUGUGUGUGUGUAUAAGUCAAUAUAGAUAUAUAAGUUG
rnacentral:lncRNA from 1 species